rnacentral:lncRNA from 1 species
CCGGUUUAAAUCCUAUGGUUGCCUCUUGGCUAUCGAAAGGCAAAAAACUUCUGUUAGAAGUUCCACCAGAGUAUAGAGGGAUGGAAAUUCCUCUAAAAUAUAAAAAGUUGUCAAACAGUGAGGAAAAGGAUGCUGAGCAGACAAAAUGCAACAUAUGUUCAUCAUAUUUCAUAUGGGUAACAAUACCUUUAUUUUGUUCUCAUACUUACUUGGUUCAUUAUUGAAUUCCAGGUAGAAAAUAGUUUAUUUUUCCUUUUGAACUCUGAAAACAUUGCUUCCGGAGGACAGCUCGCGGUGCAUGCAGAGCAAAGUGUGCAGCAGUCGACAAGCCAGCUCCUGCGGGGCCCUUCAUGCUCGCUCUUCCCGGGCGCCCGCUACCCGCUGGCGCCCUCUACCCGCUGGCACUGAGCGGGCCACCUUGUCUCCGGAUCUGCCUCGCGCAGACCCUCCAGCCUCCAACGCCUCACCUCAUCCCUGCCCAGCGCCCCGCCAAGAAUCUCUUUAUUCUGAAAUUUCAUCAGGUGUGGACAGAUGGAAUCGCCACUUAUAUAUGUUAUAAUUUUGCUUUUGAAUAUGUUGGAAUUUUCAUCAGGAAUGGUAUAUGAUAAAGAUGUUAUGGAGAAACAUUUUGCUUGUUCUAACCAAGGGCUCCCCAAAAUUAAUGAAAUAAUGAAGUUGCGUCUAUCCUCAAAAAAUUUGAAAAUCCAGUGUUUUUUCCGAACGGAGAAUGAGCUUAUUUCCAAGGAAAUGCUAAGUACGUUCACAUCUGGAGGACUUGCUCCCACCUUGGAAAUCAUAAAUAGUACAUAUCAUGGCAUCUUCCACUUUAAUUUAACAUUGUUGAAUGAUCGGAUUUUCUGGUUAAUUGAUAUUCCUAGAGAAAACAUCACAAGUAACACGGAUAUUGCUGCUGUAGAAGAAUGGUUAGUAAAGAUCACUUUACAUCAAGGAUUAAAUAUUUAUGCUAUUGAAGGAACCCUAUUGGAUAGUGUUCGAGAACCUAUUCUUCAGUGGAAUCUUGGGGAUGAAAUGUCAUCACAAGAGAUCAGUGUAUUACGUCCACAUGUGAUAGAUCUCAAAGUGACAAAGUGCCCCUGUGCCAAUGAUAUAGCAUUACUUGGCUUCCUUUUGAAUACAAUAUAUAAUGGUGUUUACAUAGGCCUCAGCUCAUCUGGAUUUUGGCAUUAUAGUGAUACGGUGUGGUAUAACAUGACAAAUAUCAUCUAUUCAGCCCUUCGAAGAGAAUACACAGGAUUAUCAGUGAUGGAUAUGGUUUUAACAAAUCAUUUUCUAGUUCUCCUUACCUCUUUGGGUCUUUUUGUAAGUGGAGAUCUUCGUUACCCAUCAGCCAAAGACUUAAAGCUUUCCAGGGCAGAAUUUUGUGGUUUUGAAAGGGUAAGAAGAUUUACAAGGGCUGGUUAG